rnacentral:tRNA from 1 species
AUCUUCGUGGUGUAAUUGAAAGCAUGUCUGGCUAGCAAUCGGGAGGUCAGGAGUUCGAAUCCCGUCGAGGACA